UAGGGAAUCUUCCACAAUGGACGAAAGUCUGAUGGAGCAACGCCGCGUGAGUGAAGAAGGUUUUCGGAUCGUAAAGCUCUGUUGUUGGUGAAGAAGGAUAGAGGCAGUAACUGGUCUUUAUUUGACGGUAAUCAACCAGAAGGUCACGGCUAACUACGUGCCAG
rnacentral:rRNA from 1 species